rnacentral:tRNA from 1 species
GUUUUUGUAGUUGAAUAACAACGGUGGUUUUUCAAGUCAUUGGUCCUGGUUAAAUUCCUGGCAGAAACC